rnacentral:rRNA from 1 species
GACGAACGCUGGCGGCGUGCCUAAUACAUGCAAGUAGAACGCUGAAGCGAGGAGCUUACUCUUCUUGGAUGAGGUGCGAACGGGUGAGUAACGCGUAGGUAACCUGCCUUGUAGCGGGGGAUAACUAUGGGAAACGAUAGCUAAUACCGCAUAAGAAUGGGUGACACAUUUCAUUUAUUUGAAAGUGGCAAUUGCUCCACUACAAGAUGGACCUGCGUUGUAUUAGCUAGUAGGUGAGGUAAUGGGUCACCUAGGCGAGGAUGCGUAGCCGACCUGAGAGGGUGGUCGGCCGCACUGAGAGUGUGACGCGGCCCAGAGGCCUUGGGGUGGGAGCAGUAGGGAAACGGGGGGAAGAGGUGCAAAAUUGACCGAGCAAGGCAGCGGGAGGGAAGAAGAAUUUCGGGUCGGGAAGCUCGGUGUUAAGUCAGGAAAGGGUGUGAGAGUGGAAAGUUCACUCUGUGACGGUAGCUGACCAGAAAGGGACGGCUAACUACGUG